GAGUUUGAUCAUGGCUCAGAUUGAACGCUGGCGGCAUGCCUUACACAUGCAAGUCGAACGGUAACAGGUCUUCGGAUGCUGACGAGUGGCGAACGGGUGAGUAAUACAUCGGAACGUGCCCGAUCGUGGGGGAUAACGGAGCGAAAGCUUUGCUAAUACCGCAUACGAUCUACGGAUGAAAGCAGGGGACCGCAAGGCCUUGCGCGGACGGAGCGGCCGAUGGCAGAUUAGGUAGUUGGUGGGAUAAAAGCUUACCAAGCCGACGAUCUGUAGCUGGUCUGAGAGGACGACCAGCCGCACUGGGACUGAGACACGGCCCAAACUCCUACGGGAGGCAGCAGUGGGGAAUAUUGGACAAUGGGCGAAAGCCUGAUCCAGCCAUGCCGCGUGAGUGAUGAAGGCCUUAGGGUUGUAAAGCUCUUUCACCGAUGAAGAUAAUGACGGUAGUCGGAGAAGAAGCCCCGGCUAACUUCGUGCCAGCAGCCGCGGUAAUACGAAGGGGGCUAGCGUUGUUCGGAAUUACUGGGCGUAAAGCGCACGUAGGCGGAUAUUUAAGUCAGGGGUGAAAUCCCGCAGCUCAACUGCGGAACUGCCUUUGAUACUGGGUAUCUUGAGUAUGGAAGAGGUUAGUGGAAUUGCGAGUGUAGAGGUGAAAUUCGUAGAUAUUCGCAGGAACACCAGUGGCGAAGGCGGCUAACUGGUCCAUAACUGACGCUGAGGUGCGAAAGCGUGGGGAGCAAACAGGAUUAGAUACCCUG
rnacentral:rRNA from 1 species